UACGUAGGGUGCGAGCGUUAAUCGGAAUUAUUGGGCGUAAAGCGCGUGUAGGCGGCUUUGCAAGUCGGGUGUGAAAGCCCUCAGCUCAACUGAGGAAGUGCGCCCGAAACUGCAGAGCUUGAGUGCCGGAGAGGGUGGCGGAAUUCCCCAAGUAGAGGUGAAAUUCGUAGAUAUGGGGAGGAACACCGGUGGCGAAGGCGGCCACCUGGACGGUAACUGACGCUGAGACGCGAAAGCGUGGGAGCAAACAGG
rnacentral:rRNA from 1 species